rnacentral:rRNA from 1 species
GACGGAGGGUGCAAGCGUUGUUCGGAUUGACUGGGCGUAAAGGGCGUGUAGGCGGUUGGUCAAGUCUGGUGUGAAAGCCCGGGGCUUAACCCCGGAAGUGCAUUGGAAACUAGCCAGCUAGAGCGCGAGAGAGGAGGGUGGAAUUCCUGGUGUAGCGGUGAAAUGCGUAGAUAUCAGGAGGAACACCGGCGGCGAAGGCGGCCCUCUGGCUCGUUGCUGACGCUGAAACGCGAAAGCGUGGGGAGCAAACAGG